rnacentral:rRNA from 1 species
AGCCUGAACGCUGGCGGCGUGGUUAAGACAUGCAAGUCGCACGGUGUAGCAAUACACAGUGGCGAACGGGUGAGUAAUGAAUCGCUAAUGUGCCCCGGACUCUGGGAUAGCCAGUCGAAAGACUGGGUAAUACCAGAUGACAUAUCCCUACCGCAUGGUCGGGAUCUCAAAGGUCCGCCGGUCUGGGAGCAGGCGUAUUUCGUAUCAGCUAGUUGGUGAGGUAACGGCUCACCAAGGCUUCGAUCGGUA